CCUACGGGCUGCACCAGUGGGGAAUAUUGCACAAUGGGCGCAAGCCUGAUGCAGCAACGCCGCGUGAGGGAUGACGGCCUUCGGGUUGUAAACCUCUUUUAGUAGGGAAGAAGCGAAAGUGACGGUACCUGCAGAAAAAGCACCGGCUAACUACGUGCCAGCAGCCGCGGUAAUACGUAGGGUGCGAGCGUUGUCCGGAAUUAUUGGGCGUAAAGAGCUCGUAGGCGGCUUGUCGCGUCUGCUGUGAAAACCCGAGGCUCAACCUCGGGCCUGCAGUGGGUACGGGCAGGCUAGAGUGCGGUAGGGGAGAUUGGAAUUCCUGGUGUAGCGGUGGAAUGCGCAGAUAUCAGGAGGAACGCCGAUGGCGAAGGCAGAUCUCUGGGCCGCUACUGACGCUGAGGAGCGAAAGCAUGGGGAGCGAACAGGAUUAGAUACCCGAGUAGUC
rnacentral:rRNA from 1 species